UUAAGUUCAGCGGGUAUCCCUACCUGAUCCGAGGUCAACCGAUAAAAAUUGGUCUUGACCAGCGCCGCCGGGCCUUGAAGCGGUAUAGAAUUCCCAUACGCUCGGGCACCAAAACGGACGCCGCCACUGUCUCGAGACCAGUCACCGGGCGAGCGACGACUGAGUCCAACACCAAGCCGGGGGCUUGAGGGGUGAUAAUG
rnacentral:misc_RNA from 1 species